rnacentral:rRNA from 1 species
UUCCAGCUCCAAUAGCGUAUAUUAAAGUUGUUGCAGUUAAAAAGCUCGUAGUUGGAGUUCAGAGUGAGCUCAAUCGGUCGGGAUUAUGUCUCAGAACUGGUUGACUCUCUCUUGUUUGUGGAUCCUGUUCGGAGUUAACUCUUCGGAUGUGGAGUCCACAUCGUUUACCUUGAAAAAAUUAGAGUGUUCAAAGCAGGCGUUUGCUUGAAUAUAUUAGCAUGGAAUAAUGGAAUAGGACGCUGGUUCUAUUUUGUUGGUUUUGAGAACCAGAGUAAUGAUUAAUAGGGACAGUUGGGGGCAUUCAUAUUUCAUUGUCAGAGGUGAAAUUCUUGGAUUUAUGAAAGAUGAACUUCUGCGAAAGCAUUUGCCAAGGAUGUUUUCAUCA